CCCCUAGACGUUCUGGGCUGCACGCGCGCUACAAUAAUACGCACAGCGAGUAUCACCGAGCUCGAAAAGGCAAGGUAAACAAUAGAAAAGGUACUGUAAUGGUUAUAGAUCCUUGUAAUUAUUGAUCUUCAACGAGGAAUUCCUAGUAAGUAUGUGUCAUCAUCACGCACUGAUUACGUCCCUGCCCUUUGUACACACCGCCCGUCGCUCCUACCGAUUGGGUGAGCCGAUGAAACUCUCGGAUGUAGGCUAUUCAUAGCCCGCAGAAGAGAUUUGAAUCGUAGCGCUUAGAGGAAGGAGAAGUCGUAACA
rnacentral:rRNA from 1 species